rnacentral:rRNA from 1 species
GACGAACGCUGGCGGCGUGCCUAAUACAUGCAAGUCGACCUUAGUGGCGAACGGGUGAGUAACACGUGGGUAACCUGCCCAUCAGAAGGGGCUAACACUUGGAAACAGCUGCUAAUACCGUAUACUGAUGGAUGGAACCGCGGUGCAUUACCUAGUUGGUGAGGUAGCGGCUCACCAGGGCCACGAUGCAUAGCCGACCCGAGAGGGUUAUCGGCCACAUUGGGACUGAGACACGGCCCAAACUCCUACGGGAGGCAGCAGUAGGGAAUCUGCUGCAAUGGACGAAAGUCUGACCGAGCAACGCCGCGUGAGUGAAGAAGGUUUUCGGAUCGUAAAACUCUGUUGUUAGAGAAGCGGUAUCUAACCAUAAAGCAACGGCUAACUACGUGCCAGCAGCCGCGGUAAUAC